GACGAACGCUGGCGGCGUGCUUAACACAUGCAAGUCGAACGGAAAGGCCCUGCUUUUGUGGGGUGCUCGAGUGGCGAACGGGUGAGUAACACGUGAGUAACCUGCCCUUGACUGUGGGAUAACUUCAGGAAACUGGGGCUAAUACCGGAUAGGAGCUCCUGCUGCAUGGUGGGGGUGGGAAAGUUUCGGCGGUUGGGGAUGGACGCGCGGCUUAUCAGCUUGUGGGUGGGGGAGUGGCUUACCCAGGCUUUGACGGGUAGCCGGCCUGAGAGGGUGGCCGGCCACAUUGGGACUGAGAUACGGCCCAGAGUCCUACGGGAGGCAGCAGUGGGGAAUAUUGCACAAUGGGCGGAAGCGUGAUGCAGCAACGCCGCGUGCGGGAUGAAGGCCUUCGGGUUGUAAACCGCUUUCGCCUGUGACGAAGCGUGAGUGACGGUAAUGGGUAAAGAAGCACCGGCUAACUACGUG
rnacentral:rRNA from 1 species